GACAGUUGUCGCCCAGCCAUUCACGUAAACUGGGGGUUACGAGGAAAAUUCGAGAAAGGAGGGAUUUGAAAGACGAUGAAAACCCAGAAGAGAAAGCACGGAAACUCAAAGAGCGUGAGCUGAAGCCUCUGUACAAAGAGCUGCUGUACACCAUCACUCAUAAAAUGGGAAAACCUUCAACAACCGAGAUCUUCACAGAAAACCAACUUCACCAGUACAUUA